rnacentral:lncRNA from 1 species
CGACGAGGCUGGUGAUUCCAAUCGACACAGAUGCCAUUAUUUCUUCUCCAAUUACAUUGCUAUCCACAGAAAACCCUAGAGAAAUUGAGAACAAUUCAGUGACAUGUAAGAAUCAUCCCCUUCAAACAAAAUUAAUAGUCAUAUGACAAUGACCAAGUGCUGCAAAAAUAAUCUAAUAUCUUUCCCUAGCAAACAAUUCAGUGACAUGUAAG